rnacentral:rRNA from 1 species
AGGUCAGCAUACUACGGUGAAUACGUUCCCGGGCCUUGUACACACCGCCCGUCACACCAUGGGAGUCGGUAACACCCGAAGCCUGUAGUCUAACCGCAAGGAGGACGCAGUCGAAGGUGGGAUUGAUGACUGGGGUGAAGUCGUAACAAGGUAAC